GAUGAACGCUGGCGGCGUGCCUAAUACAUGCAAGUCGAGCGAACAGACGAGGAGCUUGCUCCUCUGACGUUAGCGGCGGACGGGUGAGUAACACGUGGAUAACCUACCUAUAAGACUGGGAUAACUUCGGGAAACCGGAGCUAAUACCGGAUAAUAUAUUGAACCGCAUGGUUCAAUAGUGAAAGACGGUUUUGCUGUCACUUAUAGAUGGAUCCGCGCCGCAUUAGCUAGUUGGUAAGGUAACGGCUUACCAAGGCAACGAUGCGUAGCCGACCUGAGAGGUGGAUCGGCCACCCGGGAACUGAGACACGUUCCAGACGCCGACGGGAGGCAGCAGGAGGGAAUCCUCCGCAAUGGGCGAAAGCUUGACGGAGCAACGCCGCGUGAGUGAUGAAGGUCUGCGGAUCGUAAAACUCUGUUAUUAGGGAAGAACAAAUGUGUAAGUAACGAUGCACGUCUUGACGGUACCUAAUCAGAAAGCCACGGCGAACUACGU
rnacentral:rRNA from 1 species